CAAAAAUUCCCUAAAAAAACCUUAUUACUAAAAAAACAAUCCAAAACCACUUUCCCUUUCCCUUGUCCCUGCCCACCCCACGCCGCGUUGCCGUCUCCGCCGCACCGCCGCCGUCCCGCUCCUUCUCCUCCGCCGGAACCCACCGGAGCACGCCUCGAAGAGGAGCAAAUCUUUGUGCGCCCUCUGCCGGAUCUGUAUCGGCUCCCGCGACUCCUCCCUCUGUCGCAGCGCCGAGUUGCCGGAGCAGAUGGUGGGAUUCGGUAGCCUUGCUCCCAAGACCAAGAACCUGGUGGUGGGCGGUGGGUUGACGGGGUUCGUCUUUGGGGUGUACUAUUACACCAUGAGAGCAGUCGGCAGCACUGAUGAGCUGCAGGUCGCCAUCGACAAGUUCGAAGACCUGAAGAAGAAGGACGCCGACACCAACCCUGCCGCACACCCCUCCACCCCAGGCUCAUCGUAGGAAAAAAACAUGAACUUAAAUUUUGUUUACCUGUACCAAGCUUGUAAACUAGUUACCUCACAACUAGAGCCCAGAACCAUGGCUUGGUUUCUUUGAUGA